UAACGGCUCACCAAGGCGACAAUCCGUAGCUGGUCUGAGAGGACGACCAGCAACACUGGGGCUGAACCACGGCCAAUCCUCCUACGGGAGGCAGCGGUGGGGAAUAUUGGACAAUGGGGGCAACCCUGAUCCAGCGACGCCUCGUGUGUGAAGAAGGCCUGCGGGUUGUAAAGUACUUUUAGUGGGGAUGAAAAGCUCAGGGCUAAUACUGUUGGGUCUUGACCUAACCUAAAGAAAAAGCACCGGCUAACUCUGUGCCAGCAGCCGCGGUAAUACAGAGGGUGCCAGCGUUAAUCGUAAUUACUGGGCGUAAAGCGCGCGUAGACGGUUACAUAAGUCGGGUGUGACAGCCCCGGGCUCAAGCCGGGAAUUGUAUUCACGACUGCGUAGCUAGGGUGCGGAAGAAGAGCAGCGGUAUUUUCCGGUGUAGCGAUGAAAAUG
rnacentral:rRNA from 1 species